rnacentral:rRNA from 1 species
GAACGCUGGCGGUAUGCUUAACACAUGCAAGUCGAACGGCAGCACAGGGUAGCUUGCUAUCCGGGUGGCGAGUGGCGGACGGGUGAGUAACGCGUAGGAAUCUACCUUUUCGUGGGGGAUAACCCGGGGAAACUCGGGCUAAUACCGCAUACGCCCUACGGGGGAAAGCGGGGGACCUUCGGGCCUCGCGCGGAACGAUGAGCCUGCGUCCUAUCAGGUAGUUGGUGAGGUAAUGGCUCACCAAGCCGACGACGGGUAGCUGGUCUGAGAGGACGACCAGCCACACUGGGACUGAGACACGGCCCAGACUCCUACGGGAGGCAGCAGUGGGGAAUAUUGGACAAUGGGGGAAACCCUGAUCCAGCAAUACCGCGUGUGUGGAGAAGGCCUUCGGGUUGUAAAGCACUUUUAGCAGGAAAGAAAGACUAUGCGCUAAUACCGCACGGUUUUGACGUUACUUGCANAAAAAGCACCGGCUAACUCCGUGCCAGCAGCCGCGGUAAUAC